UGUUAACAGCAACAAUUCUCAUUUCCACUAUGCAUUUUGCGUAAAUAAAAUGCACGUAUUACUUUUCCUUAUUGCCACAUAUGCAUGGACUUAUCUGGAAUGUUCUACACAAACAGCUGUAAGUCAUACCGUACACCUGAUAAACACUAUCUUAUCUAAGAUAUGAUCUGUUAUGGAACUCAUGUCGCAAUUCAACAAUAUACACCCUGUUUCACGAAGAAGAACGAUUACUCUAACUAUGGCUUCACUGGGAUCACUAGAAUUGCUGGUUACAGUGCUGCUGUGUUCAUUGAAUAUAUCACUAUGUUACGUAUGUGACAAUGUGUACAGCGAACACGCUGCUAAACAACGAUGUUUUGAUGACCGAGGCAUAGACAUUGCUUUACCACUACCCGGUCGCCAAAUUUCCAUAUCUGAUGAUAAGCCGAAAGAUUUUAACUUGAUGUGCAAUAACUCAGAUGUCUACGCAGAAGCCUUGGUAUGUGCUGACAAUAUAACCAGAUCGUGUUCAACAGAUGAGUCUACAAAAUUGUUACCGUCCCAGAAACUACAAGCAGAAUCUGUGUCGUAUUUGUGUUCCCACCACCAGGAUCUGGACAUGGAUUGUAUCAGAAGGCAUACAUGGGAUAUUAGCAACUGUACAAAACUGGAAGUAGCGAAGAAUGAUUAUAAUAUACAAAAAUAUGGAAAUGAUACACUAGCAGUUGUUUGUUUAGUGCACGCCAUAACAAAUAAUUGUGCGAAUUAUAAUCUAAGAGUCUGUGGAUUCAAGACGAGGGUGACGUAUGAUAGAUACAAUCGAUUUUUGAACCCGGAAGGCUGUAAUGAACCACAUCCACUGGUUGGGUAAUAUAUGCCACGUGCGUGGAAUAAAAAGAAAGACAUGACAUUUAUAUGAUUUACAUAAAAAAAAUGUUUUGACUGUAUAAUGUUUCUUCUUUACGUACUUCGAGCCAUACGUGUAUAUAAGAACCCCUGGCAUAUACUUUUUAACAUAGUCUUCUAUUCAACAAACUUACGACCACAAUAUAGAUAAAAAAAGGUAUUAUCACUCGAACCAAGAAAGUAAAUGUAAUUGAUUUCAUCUAUAUAUAAAAGAUAAUGUUAAAUAUAAGCUUCCAGAUUUAAUU